rnacentral:rRNA from 1 species
GACGAACGCUGGCGGCGUGCUUAACACAUGCAAGUCGAACGGAGUGGCGAACGGGUGAGUAACACGUGGGUGAUCUGCCUUGCACUUCGGGAUAAGCUUGGGGAACUGGGUCUAAUACCGGAUAGUGCAAGAUGAGCUCGCGGCCUAUCAGCUUGUUGGUGGGGUAAUGGCCUACCACGGCGUCGACGGGUAGACGGCCUGAGAGGGUGUACGGGGACAUUGGGACUGAGAGACGGCCCAGACGCCUACGGGAGGCAGCAGGUGGGAAUAUUGCACAAUUAGCGGAAGCCUGAUGCAGCGACGCCGGGUGGGGGAUGAAGGCCUUCGGGUUGUAAACGCCUUUCGACAGGGACGCGGUACCUGCAGAAGAAGCACCGGCUAACUACGUGCCAGCAGCCGCGGUAAUUC